rnacentral:rRNA from 1 species
UACAGAGGUCCCAAGCGUUGUUCGGAUUCACUGGGCGUAAAGGGUGCGUAGGCGGUCGGGUAAGUCUGAUGUGAAAUCUCCAAGCUUAACUUGGAAAUGGCAUCGGAUACUAUUCGGCUCGAGGAAUGGAGGGGAGACUGGAAUACUUGGUGUAGCAGUGAAAUGCGUAGAUAUCAAGAGGAACACCAGUGGCGAAGGCGAGUCCCUGGACAACUUCUGACGCUGAGGCGCGAAAGCUAGGGGAGCAAACGGG